rnacentral:tRNA from 2 species
CGGGGUGUAGCUCAGCUUGGUAGAGCACUGCCUUCGGGAGGCAGGGGUCGGAGGUUCAAAUCCUCUCACCCCGACCA